ACGGGUGUAGCUCAAUUGGCAGAGUACCGGAUUGUCUAUCCGGUGGUUGCGGGUUCAAAUCCCGCCGUCCUCG
rnacentral:tRNA from 1 species